AUGUCUCCUGAUGUCCUCCAAGUGAGCCCAGCUUCUCCUGGGCUUUCGGGCCCUUCCGAGAAGGAUGCCCCCCACCCCAGCAUUUGUCUUCCUCUCCCGUCUUCCUCUGGCCUCCCUUCAAGCAGGGCAUCCCCCCCACCCCACAUCCUCAGAGCAAGCCCACCAUACCACCCUGGCUUGCUCAGGCCAUUCCUGCUGCCCACAAGGCUGUCCGCUCUCCUUGCAGGAGCUGGGGGAGCAAGGGGCGGCCUGCGCAGAGGCGCCGAUGUGAUGAGAAGGCGGCCCUCCCUCCAGGGGCCAGCGCAGUCCAGUCCUGGCCGCACACUAUUGAGUGUGGCUGUCCCUCCCUGUCCGCCCGCCCCCAGAUACCCCCGCUGCCCCCGGGGUUUUUCCACCCUGCUCCUCCGGAAAUCCACUCAAAUUUCUCCGGGGGCCAGGGAGCCGCCGGGCUUCACUGUUGAUUUUUCACAAGUGAUUAUUGGCGGCAGAAUUUGUCACCUGCACAAUGAAUCGAAAAUGAACCUUUCAUGGAGCCAGCCCGGGAGGCUUCAAGAGCUGGGGAAGCUAGGUGUGGGGAGGGGGGGAGGGGGGGAGCCAGGAGGCAGUCAUCCAGCUGCUCCGGGCCAGGCCCUGCGGCCAGACCCGUCUUGGGCCCCUCCAGCCGGUGGAAGCAGGUGGAAACCCGGGCACGGAGAGCUGGAGAGAGGGUCCCACAGCAGCAAGGGGACAGUCCCGGGUAGGGAGCUUAGCUGUGACCAUGAGUGCCAGCAAAGUGGGGCUCGCGGGGCUCGAGCCACAGAGGCUGAAAGAAAUAGGGCAGAUGAUCUGGUUCAAGGCUUCCUCCGUUUUGCAGAGAGACUGAGGCCCAGCGUGGGCAGUGACCGGCCAAGGACACAUAUCAAUGUGUCACAAGGUGGAGACUACAUCUCAGAGCUCCUGCCCUCACACCAGCCCACAGGAGGGAACCCGGCCCAGAGGCCUAGACCACACUCCCCCUCCGCUUCCCUUCCCUUCCCUUCCCUUCCCUUCCUUCCCUCUCCCCACAAAACCGUUGUGGGCUCUGUAAUCCCACCUCUGACUGGACACUUGCAGGACAACCUGAGCCUCAGUUUCCCCUAG
rnacentral:lncRNA from 1 species